rnacentral:lncRNA from 1 species
ACUUUGUCAGCAUUUCCAUUUCAUGAAAUACCGGCUUUUUGUGAAAGGGCUCAGUUGGAUGAAGAGGAGGAAGAGGAGGGGGAGCAGCAGGUGGAGGUGGCGGCGGCCAAGGAGGUGAGCCUGGGGAGUCGGUGGAGCAAGUACCUGGAGACAUGUGAAGAGGCGGAGCCAGAGUCCCCACAGCAGGAGGAGCCGGGGUCUGAGGCUAGAAAGCAGCUCUGUAGCAGCAGGAAGAGGAGGAGGGCAGAGGAGCUUCCACACACAGGAGGAGGAGACGAAGACUCUCAGGUGAGCUGCAGAGCUCUAUCAGAGAGAUCAGACAUGCUGCAGGGCUCCAGACUAACUUUCUUCACUAGGAGCACUGUGGCCCCCAACUGAAAAUUUUAGGGGCGCAACCAGAAAAUUUAGGGGCGCAUACCGUAAAUCAACAUGCG